UGUAGGUGCUCACAAAUGGCAUAGAGGUGAAGUUACAAAGGGAUACGCUUAGAAGGCAACGUUUCGGGGAAGAUCUUGGGCUGUUGAAUCUGAAAGACCUUGAACAACUCCUCAAGCACCAACUGGACUCAAACUUUGAGUCAAAUCUGGUCCAUAGGAGGUACUUUCAUAGUGUCUUUUUAAUGAAUUUUAUAUUUAAUAUAUGUAUGUUUUCUUAGUUAGUAAUUUUGCCAUUUGAAGAUUUUAAAUAUGAUUAUACAUGUAGGUGGCUCAACUGUACGAGAAAAAAAAAACUAAAGGUUGGAUCCUAUAUCAAAGGCUCUUCAGUUUUUAGGAUUUCCUGGUGGAUAAGUCUGUUUGUGAUAGCCAUGAAUCUCAGAUUCUAAGGCUAUUGG
rnacentral:lncRNA from 1 species